AGUUUGCCAUGGGAGCUUUUCUUUGGCCUCAUUAGAGAGUUUUAUUACUAUUCUGGUCAUUGAUCAUUGUGUUCUUCUCAGUGUUAUGCAGCUUGACAUGAAAUGCUUGGAUCCAUUAUGAGGUUUUAGGAAAGUGCUUGUGUAAAGGUCUGCUUUUGGUGAGGUACUGUCGAUUAACAAGUGGGAAAUGUCUACCUGUAUUUUUUUAAAAGCAAGAUGUGGGAUUUGCUUCUUUUGUUGUGAGAUCAAUUAAUUAAUGGGAUUUUUUUUUUAGGAGGCAACAAGAAAAAAAU
rnacentral:misc_RNA from 1 species